rnacentral:rRNA from 1 species
GACGAACGCUGGCGGCGUGCUUAACACAUGCAAGUCGAACGGAAAGGCCCUGCUUUUGUGGGGUGCUCGAGUGGCGAACGGGUGAGUAACACGUGAGUAACCUGCCCUUGACUUUGGGAUAACUUCAGGAAACUGGGGCUAAUACCGGAUAGGAUCUCCUGCUGCAUGGUGUGGGUUGGAAAGAUUCGGCGGUUGGGGAUGGACUCGCUGCUUAUCAGCUUGUUUGUGGGGUAGUUGCUUACCAAGGCUUUGACGGGUAGCCCGCCUGGGAGGGUGCCCGGGCACAUGGGGACUGAGGUACGGACCAGUCUCCUAUGUGAGGCAGCAGUGGGGAAUAUUGCACAGUGGGCCGAAGCCUGAUGCAGCGGCGCCGCGUGCGGGAUGACGGCCUUCGGGGUGUAAACCGCUUUCGCCUGUGACGAAGCGUGAGUGACGGUAAUGGGUAAAGAAGCACCGGCUAACUACGUG